GACGAACGCUGGCGGCGUGCUUAACACAUGCAAGUCGAACGGAAAGGCCCUGCUUUUGUGGGGUGCUCGAGUGGCGAACGGGUGAGUAACACGUGAGUAACCUGCCCUUGACUUUGGGAUAACUUCAGGAAACUGGGGCUAAUACCGGAUAGGAGCUCCUGCUGCAUGGUGGGGGUUGGAAAGUUUCGGCGGUUGGGGAUGGACUCGCGGCUUAUCAGCUUGUUGGUGGGGUAGUGGCUUACCAAGGCUUUGACGGGUAGCCGGCCUGAGAGGGUGACCGGCAACAUUGGGACUGAGAUACGGCCCAGACUCCUACGGGAGGCAGCAGUGGGGAAUAUUGCACAAUGGGCGGAAGCCGAUGCAGCAACGCCGCGUGCGGGAUGACGGCCUUCGGGUUGUAAACCGCUUUCGCCUGUGACGAAGCGUGAGUGACGGUAAUGGGUAAAGAAGCACCGGCUAACUACGUG
rnacentral:rRNA from 1 species